AUGAAAAGAAUCCGGAGAAGGGAAGGAAACAGAGAGAGGAAGCAUAAUAUUGGGAUGUUGUCCACACCAAACAUAACUUCAAGAGGGCUUCUCACUGUGUCUGUUCAUUGCCAGAGUCUUUCUGCUCUUCACAUUAUUGACUGCAACAAAGUAGGUAGCAAAGAUUGGUUGGAGUACCUUGGCUCUGUAGGAUCAUUGGAGGAGCUUGUAGUAAAGAAUUGCGAGGGCAUCAGCCAGGAUGACCUCCUGAAGUUUGGCUCGGGAUGGAUAAAUCUACAGAAGUUUGUGUUUGAAAUCAAGAAAAUAUUCUUUCGUAAUAGGUGGGCUGGUCCUAAUGGGGGCUAUGAUCCCUCAUACGACCCUCAUAGCCUGAAUAUGUAUGAUUCCAGUUGUGAGAACAUGAAGGACUUGAAGUUGGGAUCUAUUGAAAUUGCGACAGGAAAAGGACUUCGUUUUCUCCUUGGGAGGUGCAAAGCACUGGAGAAGCUUUGCUUGGAGUAUGUUUGGGGUCUAAAUGACAACGAUAUGAUUGCAUUAUCCCAGAGCUGCAACAACCUUAAAAGCAUCUCACUUUCGCUGGAUCCUUAG
rnacentral:rRNA from 1 species